CUAAAUUUAAGUUAUUUAAACUAAUUACUUUCAAAGUAAUAAAAUUAAUUUAGA
rnacentral:tRNA from 1 species